UACGAAGGGGCUAGCGUUGUUCGGAAUUACUGGGCGUAAAGGGCGCGCAGGCGGCUCUUCAAGUCAGAUGUGAAAGCCCCGGGCUCAACCUGGGAAUUGCGAUGAAGACUGCAAGGCUUGAAUCUGGCAGAGGGGGGUAGAAUUCCACGGUGUAGCAGUGAAAAUGCGUAGAGAUGUGGAGGAACACGAUGGCGAAGGCAGCCCCCUGGGCUGAGAUUGACGCUCAGGCACGAAAGCGUGAGGAGCAAACAGG
rnacentral:rRNA from 1 species